GCGGAGCUGCAUAUCAAUAUUUCGGGUGAGGCAAAGCAUUGAUUAAAUGACACUAAUCUUCGAACUUCCAUCCUACAAAUCAAGGGGUCAAGAGUUCGAAUCUCUUCCCGCGCCA
rnacentral:tRNA from 1 species